GACUCACGAUCUGUGUCACGCCCCGGAGCCGAUACCAAUUUCGGCCGGCCCGAGCACGUCAAACAGACGCCGAACGGACAGAGUUUUCCCUAUCCGCCCAAGGCUCAUCACAUGUACAAAUUCAAACAAGAAAUGCACUAGCGGAAACAUAUACAAAUGGCUUACACGAGGGUAAGCAAUAGCCAUUAGUGAAAGAAAGGAAAACUAAACAUUUAUAAGUACUAUGAUUCAUUUUUGAUCAUAUACAUUGCAUCUAUUUACAUUCAUGAUUCUUUGUACUUCAUUACACAUUGCAUCAUUUCUUUCUUACAUCACAUUUAUCUCAAAAUAAGCUUUACAUUCUUUUCUCAACAUCACUAGUCAUCAAAUACAAAAGAUGAACAUAGGGUACUCUACUAACAAAAUGUAAACCCA
rnacentral:lncRNA from 1 species